ensembl:lncRNA
UGAUGCUUUUGAACUGUGGUGUUGGAGAAGACCCUUGAGAGUCUCUUGGUCUGCAAGGAGAUCUAACCAGUCCAUCCUAAAGGAAAUCAGUCCUGAAUAUUCAUUGGAAGGACUGAUGCUGAAGUUCCAAUACUUUGGCCACCUAAUGCAAAGAACCCACUCAGUGGAAAAGACCCUCAUGCUGGAAAAGACUGAAGGCAGGAGGAGAAGGGGACAACAGAGGAUGAGAUGGUUGGAUUGCAUCACCGAUGGGAUGGAUAUGAGUUUUAUCAGGCUCUGGGAAUUGGUGAUGGAAGCCUGGGAAGCCAGGGAAGCCUGGUGUGCUGCAGUCCGUGGGGUUGCAAAGAGCUGGACACAACUGAGGAACUGAACUGAUUUUUCACAUCACUUCUCCCAGAACCUGCCUAAGAGACUGGAUUCCUGAGCACAGAGCAGAGUUUGAAAUGAAACCUGCCUGAAUCUGCCAGACCAGCAGUUAAAGCUACACUUGUGUUGUUUAAUGAUCUCUGUAUCUUGCUUCAAAAGGAAGAGAAAUCAAAUUAGAGAGAUGGUGAUGACUGAGCCCAAGGCCAAGAGUGUUCUUCCCCCACCCCUUCUAACUUCUGAUUUCUUCUUAUGCCUCAAGUCUCUGCUUAAAUAUCACCUCCUGGGAGUUCCCUGUUGGUCCAAUGACUAAGACUCUGUGCUCCCAAUGCAAGGGACCUGAGUUUGAUCCCAAGUCAGGAAACUAAGUCCCACAUGCUGCCACCAAAAGACCCCCCAUGCAGCGACUAAGACCCAGCAGCAGCCCCCCGCCCACAAAAAAAAAAGUUUGGGGAAAAAACCUCAGAAAGAUCUUCCCUGAACAGUCACCUUAAAGAUGUUCUCUAUUUUGACAAACUAGGCCUCUUGUUCAUGUCUUUCACGGCAUUUCUUAGUCUUGUCAUUUAUUGAUCAGUUUACAUGUUUUUGCCCAUGUUCUGCACUGGAAGACGAGGAAAUGUGGCAGGCCGAUGUCUCACAGAUGGUAGAUGAAGGAACAAAGAUUUGAACCCAGGGCCAUCUGAGCCCCAACUCAUGCUUUCAAUGACCUCCUGUCUCCACCACUGGAAUUAAUUUCUGCCCUCUGAGCUCACCCAGCAUGGGCGAAUCCUUUUUCAGAGAUUUGACAAUGACAUUGGUAGAGCUACCCAGAUCUGAAUUAAGAAGAUGGAUUCAAGGAGAUGGAAGAGUAGAGAGACUCUGCCUUUGUGGGAGGCAAAGAAAAAGGCAGAUGAGAAAAGCAGGCGAAUGAAGAGGAGGGAGCAGAUGACAGAGAAGUGAUGAGGAGAGUCAGCAGGACCUGGAGAAGGAACAGAUGGCGAUGGAGCGAUGUAAGAAGGAAGAAAUUAAGGCAGAAACAGGCUUGUGCUUAGAACUGGGGUUGCCAGAUCAGAUACCUACAGGGCCAGUCUUGCCCAGAAUCAGGGUCUUCUCCAGUGGGUCUUCACAUCAGGUGGCCAAAGUAUUGGAGCUUCAGCUUCAGCAUCAGUUCUUCCAAUGAAUAUUCAGGAUUGAUUUCCUUUAAGAUUGACUGGUUUGAUCUCUUUGCUGUCCAAGGAACUCUCAAGAACCUUCUCCAGCAUCACAAUUCAAAGAGAUAGACUCAGCUGAUAUUCUUCAGCCUUUUGCAUUUACCUUCAUGUUCUGCCUGGAACACAGAUGUGAUGGACAGAGGCACAGCAGCCUUCUUGAAAUCUUGGGAACAAAAAUUGACUUGAUAAGAAUGUUAAAGAAGAAAGAGCCUGGAUCCCUCCAGACUUCUUAUGUGAGAUGAAAAAAGUUCCAUAAAAAGUAUGCGCCGCUGUUAAUUUUCAUCUGUGCUACUUGCUGCCAAGCACAUUUCUGACUCAUACAAUAUAAUAUCUGUA